rnacentral:rRNA from 1 species
AGAAUCAACGCUGGCGGCGUGCCUAACACAUGCAAGUCGAACGAGAAAGUGGAGCAAUCCAUGAGUAAAGUGGCGACCGGGUGAGUAACACGUGACUAACCUACCUUCGAGUGGGGGAUAACCUCGGGAAACCGAGGCUAAUACCGCAUAACAUCGCAAGAUCAAAGCAGCAAUGCGCUGGAAGAGGGGGUCGCGGCUGAUUAGCUAGUUGCGGGUAACGCCCACAAGGCGAAGAU